ACUUCAGCGGCUGAUCUCGACUUUGAAGUUUUGUUAAUUUUUCGUAAGGUCAUUUUAUCGCAAAACAAAAAACUUGCAGGCAUCAUCUUUGUCGAACAACCGUCUCCUAAAAGAACCGUGAAGGAGCGGCACGUCCGGUGAGAUGUAAACUCCCAGAGAUCAUGGCGGAGGGUUCAAGCAAAGCUUUGGAUGAUGUCUCAACACCUGCUGAAGAAAAAGAAGAACAAGAACAAGAACAAGAACAAGAACAAGAAGAAG